rnacentral:misc_RNA from 1 species
CCGUGGGGAUUCGUCCCCAUUGAGAUAGCACCCUUUGUUCAUGAGUACCCUCGUUCCCUCGGCGGGCUUGCCCGCCAGUAGGACAAUACAAAAACCCUUUUGCAGUAGCAGUAACUUCAGUUAAUAAACAAAUAUUA